UCCAUGCAUGGUCAUGCACACCUGUGUCUCAACUACUCAGGGGGCUUAGGCAGGAGGAUCACAUGAGCCCAGGAGUCUUGGGCUGUAGUGCACUAUAGUGAUGGGGUGUCCACAGUAAGUUCAGCAUCAGUAUGGUGACCUGCCAGGGGCAGGGGACCAUCAGUUUGCCUAAGGAGGGGUGAACUGGCUCAGGUCAGAAAAGGAGCAGGUCAAAAUUGCCCUGCUGAUCACUAAUGGGAUCGACUUUGUGAAUAGCCACUGUACUGUAGCCUGGGCAACAUAGCAAGAUCUCAUCC
rnacentral:SRP_RNA from 10 species